CCGAAAUAUUUUCUCCGCCUUCGUCUCUACUCCAGAGUCGUGCGGAUUUCCCAACCACCGCCUCGCCCCUCUUAGGCCUCGGCUCCUCCGAUCCGAGGCGUCCCCGUCUCCUCCGGUGGAUCCGCGUCGCCGCGAUGGAGCAGCAGCAGCCGCUGCUCGAGGUAGAGCAAUGUGUAACAUCCAUACCAGAAGAUCAUGAGGCUACUUGCUGGGGAUGUGGACUCCGUCUUAUUUUUGCAAGUUAUGCACCUGUUUUUAAGUGUGGCUGGUGUGGAGCAAUCACACAAAGUAACCAAACCUCAAGAAAACCUGACAGUAUAUGCUUCUCUCACUGGAGGAAUUUCCGGGAUAGGUUCUUUGUGACUGUGCUUAUCCUCUUCAUGCUCUUCGUCAUAUGUGGUGGGGUUUGGGCGGUAUAUCCAGUCAUUUUCUCGAUCAGCACUUUUUGUGGCAUCUUUCAUUGCAUAUUAACAGCUCUGCUAGCUGUAUUUACCAUCAUAAGUUAUGGCUUGGCCUCUUUUAAAUCUGCUGGUGCACCUGCGGACAUGCGAUGGGGAAGCUAUCCCAUGGUUGGGAAAAAUGAUCUGGAGAAUUAUACCUUCUGUACAUACUGUAGUAAACCAAAGCCCCCAAGAGCACAUCACUGCCGAUCUUGCAAAAUGUGCAUAGUAGACAUGGAUCAUCAUUGCCCAUUUAUCGGGAACUGCGUGGGAACUUCAAAUCACCGAUCUUUUGUAAUUUUUCUUAUUUCUGUGGUCAUUAGUUGUAGUUAUGCUGCUGGUAUGACCAUCUAUGCAAGUUAUCGUAUAUGGCCCCCACUAGAUUUUGAAGGUCUAGCAUCAACUCGUCGUUCAAUGGGUUAUAUGAAGAUGCUAAUAGAGAUUAUUGGUACCUUGACAAGCUCUGCAUUCUUCUUGUCAGCAAGGGGUCUAAUUACGGUAUAUCUUGCAUUUGCUAGUCUAUCAGUUAAUGCUGGUAUAGGUGUGCUGCUGUUCCAGCAACUUAGUUAUAUAUAUGAAGGAAAUACAUACCUUAACCGUUUAAAUUCGCCGAACGUCAUACAUGGUGAGAGAGGCGUGCAAAACCUUAUUCGAUUUUUUGGGUGCCCCUACUCAGUUUCCAGAGUAUUAGCAGGCUACUCGAACGCUGGCAAGUUACAGGACAAUUCGAGCUCAAAACUUCUUUAGAGGGAACGAAUAACCAUGCAAGAUGCAUCAUUAUGACCAAGCCGGAGGAUUUUUCAGAGGCAAGGAAAAUUCAGUUAAGGACCACAGUUUUAUGCAAACAAUUACAUAAUGAUCUAGUGAUAGAAUGUUUAGAUUAUCAUUUGAAGAGGCAUUUAUGGGAAUUGCAGUCAUAAUGGUUUUGCUGCUAACGUUAAAACAGUGGAAACUAUUAUCGUUUGAAGUCACUAGCCAAUUAGUUUGCAUAACUGAAGGUACAGGCGAACAUAGACUUACACAAUAGUUCACAAUCUGGAGGAGGAAUUUGUUUUGAAGGAAAACAAAAUUACUGUCGGCGUUAGUCUUGAGGUGGAACUUUUCACUCUCAUUGAUUUAGUGAGGCAAUUUCAGCAGAUGCUAAAAUACAAUGUGGUCCAAUGUAUUCAUUACCUACAGAGUACGGACAAUCAUGAGUUACUGAUGGUUGGGGCAAUAAAUUUCUCUAUCUGUAAUUGUGAGCAUCAUCAGUACUUGUUCUGUGUAAAAGAUCCAGCUUGAUGCUUCGGUGUUGCAGGAGAAAUUAACGUGAAGAUGAGAUCUGGCAAAGAUUUUGGAUGGGGCUAGAAGGUGUUAAAAUAUUUGGACCACAUCUGUUUGUUGUUGACACAUUAACAUGUAUAUAGGAAAAGAAACCCCACGGCUGCCUUUGUACUAUUUAUUAUACACUAAACUCAUCUUAAAUUGGCCGGUAAUCUUAUAAACGUGGCAUAUACUGUUCCAUGGCCUCUUGCCAUUUUUGGCCUGAUUUAUGUAAAUCAUUCAUUGAUCUCUUGGCAUGGCAAAUUGUAACGGGGUGCAGCUCACAUGUUUAGUGUUGCUGCCCUUGUAACCAUUUGACCUCAGUUUUGUUCCUUAUGGCCUUUCAUGAAAUCAUCAAAGUUUGGAAUUAUGGGAGCUCCCUGCGUCAGUUU